rnacentral:rRNA from 1 species
GAUGAACGCUGGCGGCGUGCCUAAUACAUGCAAGUCGAGCGAACGGACGAGAAGCUUGCUUCUCUGAUGUUAGCGGCGGACGGGUGAGUAACACGUGGAUAACCUACCUAUAAGACUGGGAUAACUUCGGGAAACCGGAGCUAAUACCGGAUAAUAUUUUGAACCGCAUGGUUCAAAAGUGAAAGACGGUCUUGCUGUCACUUAUAGAUGGAUCCGCGCUGCAUUAGCUAGUUGGUAAGGUAACGGCUUACCAAGGCAACGAUGCAUAGCCGACCUGAGAGGGUGAUCGGCCACACUGGAACUGAGACACGGUCCAGACUCCUACGGGAGGCAGCAGUAGGGAAUCUUCCGCAAUGGGCAAAAGCCUGACGGAGCAACGCCGCGUGAGUGAUGAAGGUCUUCGGAUCGUAAAACUCUGUUAUUAGGGAAGAACAUAUGUGUAAGUAACUGUGCACAUCUUGACGGUACCUAAUCAGAAAGCCACGGCUAACUACGUGCCAGCAGCCGCGGUAAUACGUAGGUGGCAAGCGUUAUCCGGAAUUAUUGGGCGUAAAGCGCGCGUAGGCGGUUUUUUAAGUCUGAUGUGAAAGCCCACGGCUCAACCGUGGAGGGUCAUUGGAAACUGGAAAACUUGAGUGCAGAAGAGGAAAGUGGAAUUCCAUGUGUAGCGGUGAAAUGCGCAGAGAUAUGGAGGAACACCAGUGGCGAAGGCGACUUUCUGGUCUGUAACUGACGCUGAUGUGCGAAAGCGUGGGGAUCAAACAGGAUUAGAUACCCUGGUAGUCCACGCCGUAAACGAUGAGUGCUAAGUGUUAGGGGGUUUCCGCCCCUUAGUGCUGCAGCUAACGCAUUAAGCACUCCGCCUGGGGAGUACGACCGCAAGGUUGAAACUCAAAGGAAUUGACGGGGACCCGCACAAGCGGUGGAGCAUGUGGUUUAAUUCGAAGCAACGCGAAGAACCUUACCAAAUCUUGACAUCCUUUGACAACUCUAGAGAUAGAGCCUUCCCCUUCGGGGGACAAAGUGACAGGUGGUGCAUGGUUGUCGUCAGCUCGUGUCGUGAGAUGUUGGGUUAAGUCCCGCAACGAGCGCAACCCUUAAGCUUAGUUGCCAUCAUUAAGUUGGGCACUCUAAGUUGACUGCCGGUGACAAACCGGAGGAAGGUGGGGAUGACGUCAAAUCAUCAUGCCCCUUAUGAUUUGGGCUACACACGUGCUACAAUGGACAAUACAAAGGGCAGCGAAACCGCGAGGUCAAGCAAAUCCCAUAAAGUUGUUCUCAGUUCGGAUUGUAGUCUGCAACUCGACUACAUGAAGCUGGAAUCGCUAGUAAUCGUAGAUCAGCAUGCUACGGUGAAUACGUUCCCGGGUCU